rnacentral:rRNA from 1 species
GAUGAACGCUAGCGGCAGGCUUAACACAUGCAAGUCGAGGGGCAGCAUAAUGGAUAGCAAUAUCUAUGGUGGCGACCGGCGCGCGGGUGCGUAACGCGUAUGCAACCUACCUUUAACAGGGGGAUAACACUGAGAAAUUGGUACUAAUACCCCAUAAUAUCAUAGAAGGCAUCUUUUAUGGUUGAAAAUUCCGAUGGUUAGAGAUGGGCAUGCGUUGUAUUAGCUAGUUGGUGGGGUAACGGCUCACCAAGGCGACGAUACAUAGGGGGACUGAGAGGUUAACCCCCCACACUGGUACUGAGACACGGACCAGACUCCUACGGGAGGCAGCAGUGAGGAAUAUUGGUAAAUGGACGCAAGUCUGAACCAGCCAUGCCGCGUGCAGGAUGACGGCUCUAUGAGUUGUAAACUGCUUUUGUACGAGGGUAAACGCAGAUACGUGUAUCUGUCUGAAAGUAUCGUACGAAUAAGGAUCGGCUAACUCCGUG